rnacentral:rRNA from 6 species
ACGGACAAAGGGCAGCAAACUCGCGAGAGCUAGCAAAUCCCAUAAACCGUGGCUCAGUUCAGAUCGUAGGCUGCAACUCGCCUACGUGAAGUAGGAAUCGCUAGUAAUCGCAGGUCAGCAUACUGCGGUGAAUACGUUCCCGGGCCUUGUACACACCGCCCGUCACACCAUGGAAGUUGGCCAUGCCCGAAGUCGUUACUCCAACCCUUGUGGAGGAGGACGCCGAAGGUGGGGCUAAUGACUGGGGUGAAGUCGUAACAAGGUAGCCGUACCGGAAGGUGCGGCUGGAUCACCUCCUAA